rnacentral:rRNA from 1 species
GACGAACGCUGGCGGCGUGCUUAACACAUGCAAGUCGAACGAUGAAGAAGAGAAACGCGAACUUCGGUUCAACUUUCACUUCGGAUUAGUGGCAGACGGGUGAGUAACGCGUGAGCAACCUACCUCUUACAAAGGGAUAGCCUCGGGAAACCGUGAUUAAUACCAUAUGACACAUUCAUAAGGCAUCUUAAGAAUGUUAAAGCUGCGGCGGUAAGAGAUGGGCUCGCGUCCCAUUAGCUAGUUGGUGAGGUAACGGCCCACCAAGGCGACGAUGGGUAACCGGCCUGAGAGGGUGAACGGUCACAUUGGAACUGAGACACGGUCCAAACUCCUACGGGAGGCAGCAGUGGGGAAUAUUGCACAAUGGAGGGAACUCUGAUGCAGCGACGCCGCGUGAGCGAUGAAGGAAUUCGUUUCGUAAAGCUCUGUUCUAUGGGAAGAAAAGGACUGUACCAUAGGAGAAAGCCCCGGCUAAAUACGUG